AACGCACCUUGCGCCCUUUGGCUAUUCCGAAGGGCAUGCCUGUUUGAGUAUCAUGAACAUCUCAACUCUCAUGGCUUGCCGUGAUGAGCUUGGACUUUGGGGGUCUUGCUGGCCUGUGGUCAGCUCCUCUCAAAUGAAUUAGCCUGCCGGUGUUUGGUGGGAUCACAGGUGUGAUAACUAUCUACGCUUGUGGUUUUCCACCAGGUAACCCUCAGCAAUGGAGGUUCACUGGAGCUUAUAAAUGUCUCUCCCCCAGCGAGGACAGAUUUCGACCGUUUGAUCUCAAAUCAGGUAGGACUACCCGCUGAACUUAA
rnacentral:misc_RNA from 1 species